rnacentral:rRNA from 1 species
UAGUUGGAACUAGGAGUUUAGACCUAUUACUUUGGCCUUUGAAUCAGAACUUUGAUUAAUAGAGACAAACGGGAAAAUUCAUAUUUCAUAAUGAGAGGUGAAAUUCUAUGAUUCGUGAAAGACAAACACACGUGCAAAAGCAUGUGGUAAGAAUGUUUCCAUUAAUCAA